rnacentral:rRNA from 1 species
GAUGAACGCUGGCGGCGUGCCUAAUACAUGCAAGUCGAGCGAACAGACGAGGAGCUUGCUCCUCUGACGUUAGCGGCGGACGGGUGAGUAACACGUGGAUAACCUACCUAUAAGACUGGGAUAACUUCGGGAAACCGGAGCUAAUACCGGAUAAUAUAUUGAACCGCAUGGUUCAAUAGUGAAAGACGGUUUUGCUGUCACUUAUAGAUGGAUCCGCGCCGCAUUAGCUAGUUGGUAAGGUAACGGCUUACCAAGGCAACGAUGCGUAGCCGACCUGAAAGGGUGAUCGGCGACACUGGAACUGAGACACGGUCCAGACUCCUACGGGGGGCAGCAGUAGGGAAUCUUCCGCGAUGGGCGAAAGCCUGACGGAGCAACGCCGCGUGAGUGAUGAAGGUCUUCGGAUCGUAAAACUCUGUUAUUAGGGAAGAACAAAUGUGUAAGUAACUAUGCACGUCUUGACGGUACCUGAUCAGAAAGCCACGGCUAACUACGUG